CUACGGUGAAUACGUUCCCGGACCUUGUACACACCGCCCGUCAAGCCAUGGAAGCUGGGUGUACCUAAAGUCGGUAACCGCAAGGAGCCGCCUAGGGUAAAAACUAGUAACUGGGGCU
rnacentral:rRNA from 1 species